UGACGUUUGAAAGGGAGCCAUAGUGUCAG
rnacentral:piRNA from 1 species